rnacentral:lncRNA from 1 species
UGAUCGUUCACAUUCCAUCUUUGUGUUUUUCUGAUCAGUGUUUAGUAGCAACACAAAGAGACGUAGGGUGUAACACACACACACCCUCACACACAGUUAGACCUGUAGAACAACUGGAUUCCUCUGCAGGACUGACUAUAAAACGUAUGAGAAGAUUCACUCUGAACAUUCUGAAGACUCUGAAGAACCCGAACGCACCAUGGACGUCAACAACCUAAUGACGCCCGACAUGAAACAGAAGCUUUCAAAGGCUGCGACUGACGCAGGCUCCGCCUUCUGCUCAUCACUGACAGGAAGUAAAGGAGACAGUAAUAGUGGAGGCGGAGGAUUCAUGGAUGCAGCCAAAGGCUUCAUUGGAGGAGGAGACGAUAAAAAAGAGGAGGGGGGAGGAGGAUUCAUGGAUGCAGCCAAAGGCUUGAUUGGAGGAGGAGACGAUAAAAAGGAGGAGGGGGGAGGAGGAGGAGGUCUGGAUUUAUUCGGUGCAGUGAAAGACUCGAUGGGAGGAGACGAUAAAAAGGAGGAGGGGGGAGGAGGGGGAGGUGAGUUCUGAUUGGACGUCGCUGGACAAAAACAGGAAAUAAAAGUUCAGGAAUGAAGUGAAAGGAAAUGAAG